UGUAUAUGGCAAAAAGUAAAAAUUUCAAAAUUUGCAGUGGUUCAAAUGGACGGCAGUUAAAAUGUGUUCAGGUCCAAUUAAACAAGUGCCAUAAUGUAUAAUAGCCAACGCGAACACAUGCGUAAAUGCAUCACGGUCUCGUCCUACACUAAAACGAGCAAUAACCGAUAGCAGCCGAUGCAUUUUUAGUGAAUGCCCCGCGAUGGAUCUUCUCCAUAUCCCGUAUCUUUCAAAGGCCAUGCUUUUAUCAAAACAUAAUUUUUAUGUGCCACGAGAUGCAAGGGUGUGCCGUCAACAUUUAGAAUCUGAAAACUGGGACCAUGUAUUAAAUUAUAGUGCAUCAGUUACUGAUUUUAAUGAAAUCCACACAGCAGACAUCAUACAAAUUUAUAAAAGUACUCUACAGUUGAUAAAUGUUACCGUGUCGUCUGCCCUAAUAGAAUAAGGUCAUUUUAGGCUGUAGACUAGAAUUAAAUAAUAAAGGUUAAAAUUUAAUGUUUAGUCAUUUAUUUAUUUUUAACUAUGUAACUCCAGUGAAGCUCAAUCAUAUCUAAACGAUAUAUACAAGACAGUCCUUUCACUGAAGUGGUUGUGAGUGUUCUUUGGUGAUUUUAAUCGCUUAUCAUCUGGCGAUUUGUCUGCUCGUUUCCCUCUUAUAUCUUAAAACAAUUUUGCUUGUAUAUUUAAACAUUACUUGUACAGUAGACGUAAAAUCCCACCAGGUAUGUACCUGUUAGCUAUGAGCUAUCGGCUAUAAACACGAACAAAAGAUAAGCACUCCCGUGAAAAUAAAAGAGACACGGCGAUAUUUAUAGUUACUCGCCCAGCUAUGAAUUCAGGUAUUCAGAAUUACUACGACGACUUCACUAUGACUAAAUUACGUUACGUACCUACCUCUUUACAUAGCAUUCAACCUAUCUCUGUCAAUUUAUAUUGGCCACUUUAGAUUAAAAAGUAACUUGCAUUAUGACUGAUAAAUACUAAAACAAUGUUUAAUGUCACUUUAUAAUGUUUCUCGGAGUUAUUCAGUUACAAUGCAAGAAGAAAGCGAAAAACUGAUAUUCAGUAAAACUCAAAAAGGCAGGGAUUCACUGUUACUUGGUGUACAUAGAUAUACUUUGGGCGUGCAUAAUCCAAGUGGGUCCACUCUAUGGAAGUGCAUAAACCGUCUGUCGUGUGGUUCAUCGAUUACCUUAAACGCCAGUCGAACAAAGAUUGUGCGAAAAAGUGCACAUACUUGUGAGCCAUCCUCGUCGAAAAAUAAAAAUCACCUAGCUUAUCAAAAAUGCAGAAAAAUGGUUUGCGAGUCCUAUGAAUCCGUUCAAAAAAUAUUUGAAGAUGUUUAUAGUCGGGAUAUGGACACAGAUGAAGAUUCGGAUGAUUGUACGAUUCCAUUAUUUGAAAAUAAAAAAAGGUCAUUGUAUAGAGCACGAAAGGAGUUUUUGCAGGUCAAAUCGACGUCUUUCAAAACACUACAAGACGUCGAAGUACCAAUAAUAUUAAGACAAAAUUUUUUAAUUUGGGAGGAUGGAAAUGACGAUAAAAUUUUAUUAUUCGGCACCAAAUACUCGAGAAAAGUAUUAAAAAAUAAAAGUGAUGACACAAUAUUCUUUGGAGAUGGCACGUUCAAAAUAACUCCUCAACCGUUUGAGCAGCUAUUUACUAUACAUAUGGAUGUAAAUAGCACAGAAGAGCAAACUAAUAUCAUACCAAUGCUAUAUGCAUUGCUUCCUGAUAAAACCACAAACACCUACUUACGA